UGAGAGGCCCGCGUACCGCAAAAAAAAAAAAAAAAAAAGAGGAAGUACGUUAAAAAUUUAAAACCUCAGCCACACCGAGUGUGUGCCACUUGUGUCCUCUGUCAAAUCACCUGUUCUCGAAGGCAGGAGCCCAGUGGCACCCUUCCGCACCCUGCGCAAUGCCCCUUGCCGAGCUGUCGCUCAGUAAGUGUCCUCUGGUUGGCUACAGCUUCAUUCUGUGAGCAAAACUUGGAUCACUUUAUUUUGUGAAGUGCCUUAUGCCGUUAACCCCGCUAUUAAUUCCCUCAUCAGACAGCCACUGGGUACCUGCUGUGUGGCAGGCACCGUGCUAGGCGCUGUAGGAAUACAAAGAUGGAUGGAAGCUGGGAGGCGUGCUAUUUGCUGAAACACCCACGAUUCAAGUAACCACCUCAAAUUGGAGGGGCUACUGGCUAAUGGAGUGGACGUUAAAAAUCCCCUGGGAGUUCCUGUCUGCUUCCCACGCUGCCCUCCAGGUCUUUGGAGGUUGCUUGAAAUGUUCUGCAGAUCUCCCAUGCUCCAUUUUCUUCAUCCUCCCCUGUUGAUGUUGAGCACGGAAAGACCUCUGUGUCUUAGAACAUCCUUAACGUGUCAUUGCUUGACCCGAUCUAUAAAUAUUGGUGCCCGGGGUGCCAACUCCCCGAUGCUUGGUGGGGAGGCCACCCUGGAAGUGCGGCUCAGUUGAGCACCUGAUUUAUUUCCUGGGUUACAGAUGAGUGAGAAUUCUUAAUGGAAGUAGCUUCUCUAGUGACCCGGGAAAUGUGGAGAGGGCAGAAGCUCGCUAAAUCCUUUCCUCCUUGAUUUUUUUGGCCGUAACUGGUCUGUAUUUCAUGGCCUCCACUCAAAGACAGGCGCGCCUGGUGAUAGAGUCUGGCUUGGAGAAGCUCACACAGACCGAGUGUAAAUUUCAGACCCACUGUAGCUAAAAUAAGCAAACGAGACUGCAGUAAUUUUAAGACAGCGAGUGGACAAUUGCAAAGAGGACUAGAAGAGUGCUGUUUUUGAAGACAAAGGAAGGGUGAAAGUUUGCCAAAGGGCUUUGCCAGAGAUGACAAAACUGCUGAGCGAUUUGGUACAGGAAACGUUCUCCAGCGUCAUGGAAUGGGAGGAACACCACACCUGGAGAAUCAACUGUAAACUCUAGGUCUGCCACUGACUAGCUGUGUGACCUUGAGAAAGUCACUGUCCAUCUCUGGGGUUUUCUUCAUGGGCAAAACAAGAAAUCCACUGGUCAGUCACAUACGAGGUAUGAGAACGGGACGGGCUUCAGAAUGGUGUAGAGAAAGUCAGAGUGACAACUUCAUCAGGUGCCACGAACUGUUGGUCAUCGAGCACCUACCAAGCGUCAGCCUUUCCUGGGCAUAUUUCACAUGUUGUCAGAUCCCGGAUUUGAUAGCAGGCUUUGGAGAAGAGGAAUGGAAGGUUCUGAUGGUUCCUGGUAUUUAAGGAAAGGAGGAACAGGUUGACACCCAGUCAACAUCCCAAGGACCAUGGGAACAGGGAGAAGGUCUUCAGCAAUGAGAGGAACUCAAGGAAUAGGGAAGAAGCCAAGAUGAACUUGGAAGUUCUGUCCCACUUGUUCCAGGUCAUCUUGGUGCUACCCUUGGCAUCCUGGCCAUACUUUGCAGAUGCCUGUGGUAGAGUGGCCUGGCCGUGAGGCCAGACCUCCAGCUUUGCUCUCCACAGCCACAAGGAGGGACUUUGACUUCACCUUUGCAUCCCAGUCCUUCUACUUGCUCUUUCACCUGAGGCCACAUUUCUCAUAGGGUGGGCACAUCAUAAAGGUGAGAUAGAUUGAGACUUGAUAUAGGUCGUAGAAGAAGGUGAUAAAGGUGUUCAGGCAACCUUCUAUGAAUAUUUAUUGAACACCCACCGUGUGCCAGACACUACGCCAGGUCCUGGGAGUCCAGCAGUGGACCUGCUGGACCCAACUUCCUAGGGCUAUCGGAAAGAUUAAACGAGAGAAUGUGCAUCAAAAAAUACUGCUGUUGCUGUAAUAUUGAACCAGAGUGUAGAGGGUUUGGCUGCCAGGCUAAGGACUAUAUACUUUCAAAAGCAAUGAUGAGUCAUCAGGUCGUUUGGGACAAAAGAGUGAGAUGAACUGAUUUUGUUAUGAAAUUUUUCAUUACAAAAAUAAUCACGUUUGUAAAAUGAUGAGGUGUAUUUGAGUAUUGCUUCCAUAUACCCCAGAAAACACUGUGUUUUAUAAAUCUUGUUAAUAUUUGUAAAUCUAGUGGGUGAGAAAUGAUGGCUUUAUUUUAUGUGUUUUUAAUUAUAAGUAAGGUUGAGCGUCUUUUCACAUAUUUAUUUGUACUUCAUUGACUUAUUUUCAUUUGCUGGUUCACAUCUGCUUCCCAAUGAUCUAAGAGGUUGAUUUU